rnacentral:lncRNA from 1 species
GCUCCUUUGAUGGCAGUCACCAGGAGCCACGGCAACAGGAAGCCACCUUCACAAUGCUUCUUUUCAGGUGGCAGACCUCACCAAAAUGAACCAAACCUGAAGAGGAGGAAAAUGGCUGACACCAACAGCAGCUAUGAGGAUGUAUUUGUGAGGACUUCUGAAAGAGCCGCCAGGAAAUCCCAGAAAUGCAAGGGGACCAGGAGACAGUGGCAGCAAGGAGGGAGGGAAUACAGAAGAGAGCGGCAAGGACUUCUGAUCAAACUGAAGAUUCAGUAGAAGUGCAUUGCCAUUUCUUCCUCCCAAAACAACAUCACAAUGAUAUAAAGAAGGAAAAUUACAAGGUGGAAUGAAAAAGGAAUGAAAACUCCCAGCAAAAUGAUGACAUGUCAGUCCUUUACAAGAUGCUCAGAAGACUCUUUACAAUGGCCCUGUUGAUU